rnacentral:rRNA from 1 species
AUGUUGCUGUUGCCUUGCCCUUCGUGCUGGUCCGCCGCUCCGCAAGCUGCUCCAGCUCUGCUGCCCGGCCUGUGCCCGCGCGUCCUCGCGCUACCGCAUCGCUGCAAGUCGUCCCCGGCCCUAUCCAUAUCCAGUGGUUGGGCCGGCCUCCUCCAGCCGCUCCUCCCCGCCGGAGCUGCGCCGUCCGCUCGUGCCCGAGCUCCUCCCCAUUGCCUCGUCCCCAGGUGGCCCUACAUCAUGCGCCCCUGGCCGUGCCUGCGCUGCUGCGCCGUCUUCCCCCACAAGCACGGCCACGUCCGACUCCCCGACGACGCCCCGCACCUGCCCAAGCACUCGGCUGCUCCAUCCCUGCGCCGUCUGGAUGCACGGGACGUCACGCGCGCCCGCAUUCGGCCUCGCCGGGCUCGCCGGCAUCCGCACCCCUGGGCGUCUGGCCACCUCCCCGCACUGGCCCCGCGCCGCCUCCCUGGGACCUUCGUGCCGGCUCUGCCUUCUCGCCUAGCCAGCCCCGAGCGUCUGGCUCCUCCCCUCUGGGUCCUCCAUGCCGGCUCGCUUGCUCAGCCCCGACAAGCUCCCCCAACCCGGCCGCCUCUGCUGUCGGCCUCCGCGACCGGCUCUGACCGCUUGCCGUCUCCACCCCGAGCCGAACGGCUAGUUCCACAUCUUGCCGGCUCCGCCACCUGCCGGAUUCGCCCACCACCCAGCCGCCCUGGUCGGCCGCCGGCUCCCCGCUCGCUUGCUGCUGGUUCCCACAUCUGGCUGUCCAAGGCUGGCCGGAGAAGAAAAGAAAAGGGGUCAGCUGCCCCACGCGAGGGAAAGAGGAAAAGUCAAGCUGGCUGCUCCCCACGAGAAAAAGAAGAAGAAGAAGAAGAAAGAGGGUCCGGUUGCCUGCGUGGAGUCAGACUGAAAAAAAGGAAAAAAAAGAGAGGGACGUGCGUCCGGCUGCCCACAGCCAGCUCACAAGAAAAAGAAAGCGUCCGGCUACCAACAGCCAUUGAAAAAGAGAUCUGCUUCCGGCUGCCCACAGCCGGACAAAGAGAAGAAAAGAAAAAGCGUCCGUCUGUCCGUCCGCCUGCUUCGCCACUCGGACGGCUAGACGUGACCCAGCCUGCCUGCCCGCUUCAAUGUCUGGCCGGCAAGAGCGCCGGCACGGCUGCCUAUUUGCCUUGA